GUAGAGACAGGGUUUCUCCAUGUUGUCCAAGCUGGUCUCAAACCUCUGAGCUCAAGCAAUCCUCCCGCCUCAGCCUUCCAAGGUGCUGGGAUUACAAGCAUGAGCCACUGCACCCAGCCCAAAUUCAUCUUUCAAGGAGGAUUUUUAGGUUUAUUAAUCAGCAAUCAUGGACUAGGAGUACCUCCUGCUCAAUCUAGGGAAGAGUAAUAGGAACAUGGAGUCACUUUUAAUCUGCAUGAAACUUCACUAGGGUUCAACUGCUUCAUCGGCAGAAGGAAUAAUUAGACAGAUGAUGAAGUCCCUUCUAGUGCUAAAACUUGGCUUCUUUGACACAAUCCACCAGAUUUCCAGGUUAGUGCCACAAACAUUCCCCAAGAGACUACUAGAGACCUCCUCUGUUGGGGUCAGGAUUGAAAUGAAAACAAGACACAGAUUCUGCUACUGAAGAACUCAUUAUCCUAUGGGUUAACAUGGAUUGAGAUCAACUUUCUCCUUUUGAUAUAAGAUAGUAAGGCACUAAGCUGGAGGUGUUUGGGAAGGAUUGACUAUAACAAAAAAAUAUAAGGUACUAGAGAAAUCUCUUUGUUUUAAAUAUAAAUAACUGCUUCUGUGUUUGCAAUCCUAGAGAAACAGAACAACUGGGUGGUUAUUUUAGAAGUCGCCCUGUUUUUCUCCCUUACAAAGAUAUACAAAUUCUACUUGAAGUAACUCCUCCAGCCCUACAAAUAGACAUUUGGCUACUUAGGUUAAAAAACACAAAUAUGAGAGCUAGCCAUCUUGGGCUAUUGACAAAGCAACCAAUCAACAAAUCUUGCCAAUGGUGUCUCUCGUCAGAGGAAAAGAAUAUGAGCUAAUGCACCCCAAAACUGUUUUCAUAUUUAUCACAAACUUUAGUAGCCUGCAUCAGUGAGGUAGUUUGAAAGAGACGUAAAGUUACAGAUGUGUGGACAUGAUAACCAGAUUCCACCUCCAUGUUUCCCAUGAUAGAAACAUACAUUCUACCGAAAGCAGGGAUGUCACUUUUAAUCCUACGCAUACAAUAAAGGUUCACCCAUCAUCCCUAACAUAUACACAUUUUGAUGUUUUCAUAGUAGUUGCAAGGGAUUUGCAGCAAAACAUCUAGCAUCACUUACUGUUCCCCUUUGAAAAGAUCAAACUGGGCUGGCCUUCAUAAGCACUGAAGCUGCAACCUUCAUCGUGAGCAUGAUAGACGUAGCUGGUCAUCAACAAUUUCAUAUGCUUCUAGCUGCAAGACAAAAGCAAUGACUCAGGCUGCACCCAGGGUGCAAUGGAAACACAGGGAAAAAUGUCCAAAUCAAACAGCAUACAUGCACAUUUUCCCAAGGAAAUGUUUCUCUUACAGUGUUCUACGGUUAUUUGCAUUAUCAUUGUUUUGCUUUGCUGUUUAAAAAAAAAAGUUUUGUUUUUUUUUUUUUUUGAGAUGGAGUUUCACUCUUGUCACCCAGGCUGGAGUGCAGUGGCACAAUCUCACCUCACUGCAACCUCUGCCUCCUGGGUUCAAGCGAUUCUCCUGCCUCAGCCUCCUGAGUAGCUGGGAUUACAGGCACGCACCACCAUGCCCAGCUAAUUUUUGUAUUUUCAGUAGAGACGGGGUUUCACCAUGUUGAAACCCCGCCAGGCUGGUCUCGAACUCCUGACCUCAGGUGAUCCACCCACCUCGGCCUCCCAAAGUACCGGGAUUGUAGGCAUAAGCCACCGCACCCGGCCACUGUUUAAAAUUUAUGUGCAAUUACCUAGUUGAUGGGAACCUUUACAAUGGAAGAUAUCUCCAUCAAGCCAUACUAGUGAAUAUGGCCAACAUUUGUCUGGUAGCAAAAAUUCAUAUGAAAAAAUUCAUUAGCGAUCUACAGGACUGGACUAUAUGAAACUUACAGGUAUACUUUGAAUACAUAAAAAGACUUCUAGCAUGGCCAAAUUAAGACCUCUAGAGAUUGUAAUACGUGAAGAGAUAACCCAUCCUGCAUACCCUCUGCCAUGUGUACUGAAAAAUAACAUUUUAUGUAUGCCAAAAUUAAAGUUGCUUAUGUCUAGACUUUUUAAUGGCAAAAUUCUAGAUAAUUUCAUGCGAGCAAACUUUUUUCACUUUUUAAUGCCUCCGAUUUACAAGCACGGGCUUUAACUGCCUGCUGGAUAACCCAGCGGAUGUUGGGUGGUCAGCUUCACCUCCUCACUACUAGCUGUGAGAUUAAAACGCAUACCUCUGUGAAAUUGCAAAUGAUGACGUGGCAUGGGCUUUUAACAAACUUCUCCAAGGGGAUACAACUCAUGGGUUUUAAAAAAUAAGUUAAAGGUCCUGCUUUGACCAAAAUUGAAGUAAUUUCAAGCCCACAGGUCAGUGGACCCCUGGAUUCCUCAACUAGGGUGAAGCCAAAGGGAUUCUGGCCCAAAAAACUUCAUGUAGAGCAAUUGAGAAGUUUCAGGCUUUUUGUAGGUGACAUGCCCUCCUUCUUAAGGCAUUACCCAGCAUGACUGUAUUUUGCUGUGACUAAACCCCAAUCCAGCCUCUAGCCCAGAGCUGAAUAUUUAAAAAUUGGAAGCCUGAAGACAUAUUACCAAUAAGUUGGGAGGCAGCUCCCUGAAGUUGCCUACGAACACCUGGAGAAGAGGAAGCACAAAAGCAAACAUCUAGCAGUGGACAUGGGUUGGAAACGAGACAUUCUUCUUGUCGAAUGACUAGUUACUUAACACUUAGUGACUAAUUAUCAGAAACCUCUUUCUGACUUGCUCCCUGUGAAUUGGCUUACGGUAUUGUUGAUUACCGGUUCAGAGCAAUCAGACACAGCAAAUAUUCUCCUUCUGCAAGUGGGUCUUACCUUAAAACAGGUCUCAUCCUAUGGUACAGCUUUAAAAAUUCUCUGCUUAAUGGAAAAGUUUGUUUGCAUGUUUAGCUAUAAAUGCAUUCAUCAAACAAGUACUUACUUUUUGCCUACUAAGCGCCAUAAGCUGACCUGGGCACUGAGGGGAUGUCAGUAAACAGGAAGGACAAGGUCCCUGCUCAUGCUGGGUCAGAGAAGAGUCCUAAACCCGGCGAACUGUGAACUGGACGUAUCUCACCAGGGAGGACACUUUCUUUCUUUUUUCUUUUCUUGAGAUGGAUUCUCACCCUGUCGCCCAGGCUGGAGUGCAGUGGUGCAAUCUCCGCUCACCGCAACCUCCGCCUCCCAGGUUUAAGCAAUUCUCCUGUCUCGGCCUCCCGAGUAG
rnacentral:lncRNA from 1 species